rnacentral:rRNA from 1 species
UACGUAGGGGGCAAGCGUUGUCCGGAAUCAUUGGGCGUAAAGCGCGUGUAGGCGGCCCGGUAAGUCCGCUGUGAAAGUCCAGGGCUCAACCCUGGGAUGCCGGUGGAUACUGUCGGGCUCGAGUCCGGAAGAGGCGAGUGGAAUUCCUGGUGUAGCGGUGAAAUGCGCAGAUAUCAGGAGGAACACCUAUUGCGAAGGCAGCUCGCUGGGACGUUACUGACGCUGAGACGCGAAAGCGUGGGGAGCAAACAGG